UACGUAGGGCGCGAGCGUUGUCCGGAAUUAUUGGGCGUAAAGAGCUCGUAGGCGGUCUGUUGCGUCCGCUGUGAAAACCCAGGGCUUAACCCUGGGCUUGCAGUGGAUACGGGCAGACUAGAGGCAGGUAGGGGAGAAUGGAAUUCCCGGUGUAGCGGUGAAAUGCGCAGAUAUCGGGAGGAACACCGGUGGCGAAGGCGGUUCUCUGGGCCUGACCUGACGCUGAGGAGCGAAAGCGUGGGGAGCGAACAGG
rnacentral:rRNA from 1 species